CCUGGAUUCAACCCUGUUCCCACUCUCUGCUGGCUGUGACACAACUGGGGGUCACUCGUCUCCCCAGCCACUGACAGCAGUGCUGAACUGACAGGAAAGUGAUGCUGUCCCCUGGCUGUGCUGAGGCCCAGCAUAAUUGUCCUGCAUCACAAAGACUAAGUGCAUAGCAAACUUAGAAAAAC
rnacentral:lncRNA from 12 species